rnacentral:rRNA from 1 species
UACAGAGGGUGCAAGCGUUAUCCGGAUUUACUGGGUUUAAAGGGUGCGUAGGUGGGUAGGUAAGUCAGUGGUGAAAUCUUCGAGCUUAACUCGGAAACUGCCAUUGAUACUAUUUAUCUUGAAUACUCUGGAGGUAAGCGGAAUAUGUCAUGUAGCGGUGAAAUGCUUAGAUAUGACAUAGAACACCAAUUGCGAAGGCAGCUUACUACAUAGUUAUUGACACUGAGGCACGAAAGCGUGGGGAUCAAACAGG